rnacentral:rRNA from 1 species
UACAGAGGUCUCAACCGUUGUUCGGAUUCAUUGGGCGUAAAGGGUGCGUAGGCGGUCGCGCAAGUCGGAUGUGAAAUCUUAGGGCUCAACCCUGAAACUGCAUUCGAUACUGCGUGGCUCGAGUACUGGAGAGGAGACUGGAAUUUACGGUGUAGCAGUGAAAUGCGUAGAUAUCGAGAGGAACACCAGUGGCGAAGGCGAGUCUCUGGACGACCCCUGACACUGAGGCACGAAAGCUAGGGGAGCAAACAGG